ensembl:snRNA U2 U2 spliceosomal RNA
AUUUCUUAUUGGCCUUUUGCUAGCAUCACGUGACAUCUGUCCUCGUCAGUUUAAUAUCUGACAUGUCCUCUAUCUGAGGAGAAUAUAUUAAAUCAAUUUUUGGAGCAGGAAGAUGGAUUGGGAGCUUGCUUCAUCCAACCCAUGCAUUGACCUGGUAUUGCAGAACCUCCAGGAGUGUUGCAUCCCUC